rnacentral:sRNA from 1 species
AUGUGUGCCCUGCUCGUCCUCAUAUCUACUGGAUCAUGUUGGAUUGGUCAGAAGUAUCUUUCAGACGUGACUUUUGGGCAGUGACCGGGUGCAGGAUGUCCACAUAUGUGCUUGUGCCUUCAAUACUGUCACCCUGAUAUCUGUUCUCUAAGCAGAAGCAAACUUGCUGACAGACACAGUGAGCACAUGGAAGAUGGUGGCACCUGGUGACAUGUUUUGGACAGUCUCUCAGGGACGUAAGGUUGCAAGGAAUGAAUGCAGGCUUGGCUGCAUUGCUGACUUCCCUGGAAAGGAAAAUGCUUCUGUGACCAGGAGGAAGCCACACUUGCUGGCCUUUGCACAAACCGAUCAAUCCUUCACAAUUACUCCUGUAUGCGCAGACUCUGGAGGAGACUUCUGCCACCUCUCUCUGGCCCGUCCCAUAUGGGUAAUGGCAUUUCCUGGCCCAGAAUCCAUUUCUAACAUGGGUUAGGGAAUGCUGUUGAUACAGCUCAGGGCUACUCAGUACUGAGUCAGUGAGGUGUUUUAACCUUUCUGAGAGAGACUCUGUCCUGUGUCUCUCAAAUGAUGGAGGAGAAGAGGCUCAUCUCUGUGGUUGUUGAACCAUGGGAGCAGGGAGUUUCCUGACAAGGACUGAGAGGUUCAGGAAGGAGCCAGGUUCUAGCUUCCUGGGGAUGUGUGUCUGUACACCAUCAGACAGCAAUGAGACUCUGGGUCUGUGUGCUUAUAGGCUUCCUCCAGUGGAUGGAAUUUACCUAUUAGCUCUACGCUCUGUCAGCUUACAGCAGCACCAGCCAUGAUGUCAUGGUCAAACUGGUCAAGCAUGGCACCCUAUCCUAGCUCCUGACUUUGUAUUUGCAACAUGUCCUGGAUCCUUGACCACCAGCAGCAGCACAUGGUGCAACGAACUUCCUAAACAGGAUGUGAAAGUGUUUCCCGCUGAGCCUUGAGACGUGAACAUGCAUCGCGCCUGUCGUCUGGACUGAACAACUUGAGGAAGGGCCAUCCAUAUUCCUGCUCCCUAACCAGGACACUGCUAAGAAACACAAUGCGUGAACCUGCUGCAGGGUGGAGAAGAGACAACUUGAGCCUUUUCCCGCACACUUGUGCACUCCUUCUAGAUGUGAUCUUGGAUGAGGUAUAAGAGUAAUUGUGGCUUCAUAGAAGGAAUUUG